CCCCCCACUUCCGGCAUGUCCCCAAACUAUAUCUUCCUCCCCGAAAUCCCAUUCGGAAUUACAUUUGUUGAGUCAGUCAUUCUUUUGGAUUUAAUCGCACGGAGUCUACUCAAGAGUUCAAAAUUUUUAUUGAUUUCCAAGCCUCCACCAUUAUCCAGGCUUCAGACUUUUCAGAUAGACAAAGUAAUCCUAAAGGCUCGUUCAUCAGGCCUAUAUGUCAAAAAAUUGCUUGCUGGAGAAAAAAACGACAAUUUGCAAUUUCAGCAAAGAGCCGGACUUUUAAUUAGAUUCAGCCUUGUUUGUUUUAAAAUUCUAUUGAAUAUGUCUCGUAACUAUCCUAGUGGAGAAAAAAAACGCGCAUUAUCGGUGAAAAAAAAAAGAAAGAUCGAAGCUGAGCUUGCUGAAAAAACUACAAAACUGCUCUCCUUUUUCAAACCAACUUCGAGUACCAAGGAAGAUAGUCACGUAGAAAAGGGAUCUGCAAUUGAAUCAGACACCGCCGGGGUAAAAGAUGUAGAGCAGGCUCAAAACAAUGUGAUUUGAAAGAUGAUACAGCUAAACCCCUUGAAGAUAGUCAUGCUAUAUACGACCUUCAUUUUUGGCCAGAGCGGGAAAAGAUGUCAGAGGUAUUUAGAAACUAUUGGAUUCAACGUGGUACCACACCAUGUCAAAACAAAAACGGGAACUCUAAAGAAUCGGUCAUACAGUUAGAAAGAGAGUCACAACGUCGGUUCUGCACCAUUUCUUUAUUCACACGUGUCCAUGCACGAACAGGAGAAAACUUUGAAAGAAAUUGGUUGUGUUAUUCCAAAACAAGCGGGUGUGUUUAUUGUUUUGUAUGUAAGCUGAUGUCACCUAUAACUAAGAAACUGACAUCAGGGUUCAAACAAUGGAAAAGUGCCCAUGAAGUGCUCUCUAGGCAUGAAAAUUCCAAACAACAUAUUGAUUCAUAGGCAGCGCUGUGUUCACGAAAAUCUACUGGUCAGAUUGACAUGAAACUUGUAACGCAAUAUAAAAGUGAAAUUCAGUACUGGAGACAAGUACUUCACAGAAUCGUUAGUGUGAUAAGUUUCUUUGUAUUCGUGGUCUUCCGUUCCGGGGCAGAACUGAAGAGGUUGGCUCUCCAAACAAUGGGAAUUAUCUCGGGUUGCUGGAGCUGUUAAGUCAGUACGAUACCUUUCUCGCAGAACAUAUGCGGAUACACGCCAACAAAGGACGUGGAAAUACAUCCUACAUAUCUUCAACAAUAUGUGAGGAGAUGAUUGAACUUAUGGAUCAAUAGGUUUUGUCUGUAAUUGUAGAUGAAAUAAAGACAGCGAAAUAUUUUUCUAUAUCUGUAGAUUCGACUCCAGAUGUUUCACAUGUUGAUCAACUCACAAUCGUUAUUCGCUAUGUACAAGACACCGGACCUAUUGAGCGCUUCUUAAAAUUUGUACCAAUGUUUUCACACACUGGUUCGGAAAUAGCUAAUUUAAUACUAACAUUUUUGGAAGAAAAUUGAAUUGACAUUAAAAAUUGUCGCGGUCAAUCAUAUGACAACGCGACCAACAUGAGCGGCAAGUAUAACGGUGUUCAGGCUAAAAUCCGGGAGAAGUGUGACGUAGCAUUGUAUGUACCGUGCACAGCACAUUCACUCAAUUUAGUUGGGAGCUGUGCAGCUGAGUGCUGCCCCACGUCAGUUGGAUUUUUAAUCUCCUUCAGAACCUUUACUCUUGGCUUUCUGCAUCUACCCAUCGUUGGCAUAUACACAACAAGCACAUGAAUGGAUUGCCUGUUGCUAAAGCUUUGUCGGAAACCAGAUGGUCUGCUCGACAUGAUGCUGUUAAGGCUUUAAAUAGAGGGUAUAAGGGAAAUAUAUCGGCUUUGGAGGAGUUAGCAGCCGAUGAAAUUCAACCUCUUAAAUGUAGAGCUGAAGCUGACGGAUAUCUUAAAAGUUUACAAAAACUAGAAACAGUAAUAUUAUUGGAGGUAUGGGAUACAAUUUUAGAGAGAUUGCAAAAAAACAAAUUUAUCUCUUCAAGAAAAAGGUUUAUCUCUUAAUACAGCAGUUAAUUUGUUAAAAUCUGUUCUCCUUUUUAUUGAAAGUCAACGUAAUGAAUUCGCUAGCUUCGAAUUUAUCUGUGUAUGAUGACGUCUAACUGCAGUGGAGAGCGCUCAUUUUCCAAAAUGAAAAAGAUUAAAAGCGAUCUUAGAAGCACAAUGGGACAGCUGAGACUUAGUAUGCUCUCACUUAUGAGCAUAGAAAAUGACAUUGUAAGCUCACUGAAUUAUACAGAACUAAUAGAAGAUUUUGCUAUCAGGAAAGCUCGAAAACGUUCCCUAUAAAAGUUACUUGGUCUUUAGUUCUAAAUAAAAAGAACUGUAAUAAAUAUUGCAUUGUCUUCAUGUCUUGACCCACGUGCCAACUGUGAAUCGUGUCGGUCAAGUAGAACUGUCCGAAUUUUCACUCCUGCGUUUCCGUCUAGACAGACAGACAGACAGAGGAAAUUGCAUUGUCUUCAUGUCUUGACCCACGUGCCAACUGUGAAUCGUGUCGGUCAAGUAGAACUGUCCGAAUUUUCACUCCUGCGUUUCCGUCUAGACAGACAGACAGACAGAGGAAAUUGCAUUGUCUUCAUGUCUUGACCCACGUGCCAACUGUGAAUCGUGUCGGUCAAGUAGAACUGUCCGAAUUUUCACUCCUGCGUUUCCGUCUAGACUGACGACUGACGACAGACUGACGAGGAAGUGAGUUAAAUAAAAGCUUGUAAAAACAGUGGCAACUAUUAAAUAAAUUCAAGUCCUUAUAUAAACAAACCCUACUUUAUUGCUUAU